rnacentral:rRNA from 1 species
GGUGAACGCUGGCGGUAGGCCUAACACAUGCAAGUCGAACGGCAGCACAGAGGAGCUUGCUCCUUGGGUGGCGAGUGGCGGACGGGUGAGGAAUACAUCGGAAUCUACUCUGUCGUGGGGGAUAACGUAGGGAAACUUACGCUAAUACCGCAUACGACCUACGGGUGAAAGCAGGGGAUCUUCGGACCCUGCGCGAUUGAAUGAGCCGAUGUCGGAUUAGCUAGUUGGCGGGGUAAGGGCCCACCAAGGCGACGAUCCGUAGCUGGUCUGAGAGGAUGAUCAGCCACACUGGAACUGAGACACGGUCCAGACUCCUACGGGAGGCAGCAGUGGGGAAUAUUGGACAAUGGGCGCAAGCCUGAUCCAGCCAUACCGCGUGGGUGAAGAAGGCCUUCGGGUUGUAAAGCCCUUUUGUUGGGAAAGAAAUCAAUCUGGUUAAUACCCGGGUGGGAUGACGGUACCCAAAGAAUAAGCACCGGCUAACUUCGUGCCAGCCGCCGCCGUAA